CCUUCUGUGCUACCUGACCAAAAAAGAGUAUGGUCUUUCUGAGAAGAAGAGCAUAUCUACCUUGAAGACCUUCUGGAAAGUCGCCUAUGAAAAGAGCAUACCCAACCCAUAUGAGCCUGUCCGAGACUUGCCAUUCCCAUUGAAUAAACUUUCCCUGCGUAUUGAUUCAUUGCCGACUGAACGGGAAAUGCUUGCUUCUAUUCCCUCCCUCCGAGCGAUGAACCGCGAUUUUCUAGCUGUACGGAAUCCCUGGGGAGUAAAGGGAUAGGUGGAACAGGAGGGGGUGGAAGAACUACUGAAAGUAAUCCAUAAGAUUCAAUACCUUUCCGGCUAUAGGGAAGGGAUCAUCAGAGGGUGGAAAUUUCCUCCAAUCGGAAUACUUGCUUUUCUAUAGGGAUUGCAUGCCCAUUUUAGG
rnacentral:lncRNA from 1 species